ACAUGAUGCACAUUUUAUUAAAGAAUUAUUCAUUUUAAAUAUGUUUCCUAUUAGAUCUCAUGGGUGAGGAGACAUUGCACAUAAAUUCUUAUUCCUCUUUUUUUUUUCCAAAGUUGAGUAUUACAGGUGUGACUAACAUCCACUAAGAAUUAGGUAACCUUACCACAACUUCUCUUUUCAUGCAUUGAUAUUUCAUCAAGCAUUCCACUAGCGUGAGUACCUCAACCACCAAAAGGCAAGUGACCGGUGCGGCGGCGCCACAGUGCAACCUGUCUCGGCGCGACAGUCUCAGUGGCAGAUAGAGAUGUUAGAUUUCCCCUUCAUCUAGCUUCGCUUAUGAAUGAUGUUAACCUUUGUAGCUUCUAGGGUUUUAUUGAUUUGGCCGAUAUUUGAUUUGGGAUUUCUUGUGUUUCCUAGGUCAAAACCACAGCAGAUGUGAGCACAUUGCAUUGGUUUUGGCAGAAUGGAUUUGUAAGAUUCAUUUGUUUGCCCCCUUGGGAAGGCAUUGUUCUGUGAUUUAGGUAGAAAAUGGUGAUACAGUGGAGUGAUUUAAACCUAACUUCAAUAUAUUUGUGCAUAGGGAUGGCAGUGGGUUAGGUUUGGGUCGGGUGGAGCACAAAUCCAUCUGCGAUCGCACCCAUGAAGUCUAACUGAACCUGCCAACGACACACCCUCAGGUGCAAUUUCAAACCCACACCCGAACCCGUUAGGUUUCAGGUGGGUUUCGGAUCACUCGCGGGUUUUUACUCAGUGUACACUUUUAAACAAUAAUUCAACAAUAAGUAAUUAAGUACCAACAAUAAUUGAGUUAUAUCUACAGAUUUUAAGUCUUCUCAUAUUGAGCAACAACAAAACAUUCA
rnacentral:lncRNA from 7 species